UACCUUUAGCCUUCAAUGUCUCAAGAGGCAAGUCUUACCACUUCUUUUGGUGACUUGAAAGGAUGUACUGCUUUGGAGUUUGGUAGCCAGUUAAUUUGUCACCUGAUCUUCAUAUGCAAAAGGCCUGUAUUCCACUGGUCUGUGAGAU